AAAAGAGGAAGAAACUAAGGCCGAGGGUGAAUUUCUGCUAUUGGCUUCUCUCUUGGGAGCUGCGGUGUUCUCAACGUCAGUUUCCUGGGUCAUGAAGGACCCCUGGUUUGCCCAUGCUUUGUUUCAAAUUCUUUCGCCCAUAAGCAGUAGACACCUUUCUUCAUCCUUUUAGCUGUUCCUCACUAGGCUACCACUGGCCAGACAUCUUAAACUUUCUCACUGAGGCUGGGGCUCCGGAGUCUCCGGGGUUCUUGUCGUUACCCUGGCUGCAACACAGGUGUCCCUCAGAGAGCUGGGGCACCAGAGCUGAUGAGAAAUCAAAAAACUUUCGCUCGCCCUAAGCAUCUGCGGUCAGUCUAAACCAGAGAUAGGAGUCUUUGCAGCAACACACGCACGUUUUGUCCUGGGCUCUGCCCCCAUCCCGCUGCACACACCCUGGGAGCCACCUUUCGGCAGAACAUCCCUCCCCCCGCACCCGUUACUAUCCUCAAGUCCGGCAAUCGGGGCGGGAGGGCUCCCGGUGCGCCUCUGGCUCGCGCGGCCUCCGCCCGAGCUGCGUGGCCGCGUGCGCACCGGGCGCUCGAGUCUCCGAGCAUGGCAGAUUUCCACCGGAUGACAUCAUGGGAGCGAGUGAGUGCCGGCUCUACCCGGGGCGGGGNNNNNNNNNNNNNNNNNNNNNNNNNNNNNNNNNNNNNNNNNNNNNNNNNNNNNNGAGAGGCUGCGAAGCAGAGCCAGAGCUGCUGCCUGGGGCCGGCUGUCUGUCCGCCAGCCGGGGAGGAGCGCUCCGGCCGCCGCUGACAAAGGAUGGGAGGAUGCCUGCACCCCGGGAUUCGGGCUGCGCGAAGCCCGGCGGUCGCCUGAGCGGCUUCGUUUCCCUCCGCUGCUGGACAGACGUCCUGAACCACAGCAUCUCUGGCCAUGGGACAUUUACACCUCCUCUUUGCUCUGCUUCUUGGUUCGCUCUACAUGAACGGACUUAUAUCUGGGGAAAUGUACCCAGGAAGAGUUUUGAGAGUAUCUUCCUAAUUGUCCUGCUGGGAUUAAACAGGACACCACUGUUUUUCGUAAGUUUGUCUAUUUUUAAUCUUAAUAAGGAAGAUUUUUCCACUGCAGAAAACUUUUUUUUAUUUCAUUUGGAAUUAGAGUUGAAUUUUGAUUCAAUGGGAGAUGUAAUUGAUUUUUUUUCAAGCUUUCUUUUACCUACAUAUUAUUCAAUUUCAAUGAAUCGUGGAAAAGCAUUUCUUUGUUAG
rnacentral:lncRNA from 1 species